UGGCGAACGGGUGAGUAACACGUGGAUAACCUGCCUCAAGGCUGGGGAUAACAUUUGGAAACAGAUGCUAAUACCGAAUAAAACUUAGUAUCGCAUGAUAUAAAGUUAAAAGGCGCUACGGCGUCACCUAGAGAUGGAUCCGCGGUGCAUUAGUUAGUUGGUGGGGUAAAGGCUUACCAAGACAAUGAUGCAUAGCCGAGUUGAGAGACUGAUCGGCCACAUUGGGACUGAGACACGGCCCAAACUCCUACGGGAGGCUGCAGUAGGGAAUCUUCCACAAUGGGCGCAAGCCUGAUGGAGCAACGCCGCGUGUGUGAUGAAGGCUUUCGGGUCGUAAAGCACUGUUGUAUGGGAAGAAAU
rnacentral:rRNA from 1 species